CAGGGGGUACCGUACAGAGUCAAUGUGGAGGCUAUAUACAGGGGGUAACGGUACAGAGUCAAUGUGGAGGCUAUAUACAGGGGGUACCGGUACAGAGUCAAUGUGGAGGCUAUAUACAGGGGUUACCGGUACAGAGUCAAUGUGGAGGCUAUACAGGGGGUACCGGUACAGAGUCAAUGUGGAGGCAUAUACAGGGGGUACCGGUACAGAGUCAAUGUGGAGGCUAUAUACAGGGGGUACCGGUACAGAGUCAAUGUGGAGGCUAUAUACAGGGGGUACCGGUACAGAGUCAAUGUGGAGGCUAUAUACAGG
rnacentral:lncRNA from 1 species